rnacentral:rRNA from 1 species
GACGAACGCUGGCGGCGUGCUUAACACAUGCAAGUCGAACGGUGAAGCGCCUUCCUUUUUGGUGGGUGUGGAUGAGUGGCGAACGGGUGAGUAACACGUGAGUAACCUGCCCCCUUCUUCUGGAUAACCGCAUGAAAGUGUGGCUAAUACGGGAUAUUCUGGGUCUGUCGCAUGAUGGGUCUGGGAAAGAUAUUGUUUCGGUGGGGGAUGGGCUCGCGGCCUAUCAGCUUGUUGGUGGGGUGAUGGCCUACCAAGGCGGUGACGGGUAGCCGGCCUGAGAGGGUGGACGGUCACACUGGGGCUGGGACACGGGCCAGGCUCCUACGGGAGGCAGCAGUGGGGAAUAUUGGACAAUGGGCGCAAGCCUGAUGCAGCGACGCCGCGUGAGGGAUGGAGGCCUUCGGGUUGUGAACCUCUUUCGCCAGUGAAGCAGGCCUGCCUCGUUUGUGGGUGGGUUGACGGUAGCUGGAUAAGAAGCGCCGGCUAACUACGUG